CCUUCAGAAAUACAGUCCUUGGAGUAGGAGGCUAACAGAGCUAAGGUGAAGGAUCUAAAACCUGAAAAGAGGCCAAAUGAUUCCUCAAAACCACGCAAGUACGAAGUAGCAGAGCGGAUCUCAAAUCCAGAGCACUGCGUGUUUUGAAAUAUACAAAUAGUGGGAAACGAAAUCUUUGUUCUGGAUGCAGUUAUAAUUUGGAAAGCGAGGAAAUAAAUUAUAACAAGGGGAAAAAACAGACACAGAGGGAUUGAAAUGCAUAACAAUAGAGAUGAAACACGAAGAGUGAUAAAUGAAGAUUGAGUGUGCACACCUUCUGGAGGAGCCCUGAUUGAGUAUUUUAACACAGAAGUGGGUGAGAGCAAAGUUGUGUCAGAGUAAGACAAUGACACCAAGCCAGAUGGUUAUCAAAAUCCACAGGAACAAAUGAAGAGAACCAGAAAUUGCAAAUAAGAAGGACAGAGUACCAGAGAGGAGAGAGAGGUACAGAGAAUUAUGGAGGUGGCUUCCGUUGAGUAUGCAGCUAAGUAAUGAUUAAUGCAUACAUAUAAGAAACUACUGGAUGACAGAGAAAGAACCACAAGCAAUUUAAAGAAUACUACUAAAGUCAUGCCGUGUGACUUCUGAAGCUAGCUCCUAAGAAGUCCUUGCAGCUUCUGCCUGCGACUCUUAGAACACUUGCUUUGAAGGAUGCCAGAUGCUGUCUUAAAAGUCUGAGCACUCUGAAACCAUCAUGCUGUGAGGAAGCCCAAGCUAACCACAUGGGCAAAAAAGAUGCCCUCUGACUGCCACCAUUUGAGACACUCUAAUUAAGAACUGCCUCAUUGAGCCCAUGAGGCCCUGUGAAUGAUAAUAAUAAAUUGUUUUUAACCACUAUGUUUUUGGAUUUGUUAUAAGUUUAUAGAUAACAAGAAAAAGUUAUAUUAGCAUGGUAAUAAAAUUAUGGAUAUGUGUAA
rnacentral:lncRNA from 1 species